UACAGAGACCUCAAGCGUUAUCCGGAAUCAUUGGGCGUAAAGCGUGCCGAUAGGUGGUUUGGUUUGUCUUGGGUGAAAUCCCGAAGCUCAACUUCGGGUUUGCUUAAGAUACUGCCAGACUAGAGGGGCAAAGAGGAGACUGGAACGAACGGUGUAGUAGUGAAAUGCGUUGAUAUCGUUCGGAACACCGAAAGCGAAGGCAGGUCUCUGGGUGCCUCCUGACACUGCUAGGACGAGAGCGUGGGUAGCGAAUGGG
rnacentral:rRNA from 1 species